CCUACGGGGGGCAGCAGUAGGGAAUCUUCCGCAAUGGACGAAAGUCUGACGGAGCAACGCCGCGUGAGCGAAGAAGGUCUUCGGAUCGUAAAGCUCUGUUGUUAGGGAAGAACAAGUACGGGAGGAAAUGAUCGUACCUUGACGGUACCUAACGAGGAAGCCACGGCUAACCACGUGCCAGCAGCCGCGGUAAUACGUAGGUGGCAAGCGUUGUACGGAAUUAUUUGGCGUAAAGCGCGCGCAGGCGGUCUUUUAAGUCUGAUGUGAAAUCUUGCGGCUAAACCGCAAGCGGUCAUUUGGAUCUUGGGGGCUUGAGUGCAGAAGAGGAAAGCGGAAUUCCACGUGUAGCGGUGAAAUGCGUAGAGAUGUGGAGGAACACCAGUGGCGAAGGCGGCUUUCUGGUCUGUAACUGACGCUGAGGCGCGAAAGCGUGGGGAGCAAACAGGUUUAGCUACCCUGGUAGUC
rnacentral:rRNA from 1 species